rnacentral:rRNA from 1 species
UACGUAGGGUGCAAGCGUUGUCCGGAAUUAUUGGGCGUAAAGGGCUCGUAGGCGGUCUGUUGCGUCAGGAGUGAAAACUCGGGGCUUAACCCCGAGCCUGCUUCUGAUACGGGCAGACUAGAGGUAUGCAGGGGAGAACGGAAUUCCUGGUGUAGCGGUGAAAUGCGCAGAUAUCAGGAGGAACACCGGUGGCGAAGGCGGGUCUCUGGGCCGAUACUGACGCUGAGGAGCGAAAGCGUGGGGAGCGAACAGG